rnacentral:lncRNA from 1 species
AUCUAGGGUUUCAGACAAUCAUGAUUAUAGAGGUAUAGAAUACUUAGGUUGUCAAUCCUAGAACUUGACUUCUUAUGAGAAAGUAUUCCAGCUUUCGCUAUUGAAUCAAUCCUAUUGACUAUGUCCAAUAUCUCAGAUGUCACUUGUUGAUAUGGAUCGAGCGUCGAUCGAUGCUAUGGUAAGAGCGUCAAUCGAUGUUCUUUUAGGCAAAAUUUAGCGAGUUGAUCGAUAGGUUCAGUAGUAUUGUCUAGAUCAGCUGUCGCUUGUUUCUAGCACUCUUAGCUCAAGGGAAUCUAUUCUGGUCCAGAACCUACCGUCGUAGUUGUCCACUAUCCUAAGUUCAAGGUUCUAGCUAGCUACCCUAGAACACAAGCAUUAAUAACAAUUCCUUGAAGGAUAUUUAUCACCUUCGAAAUUAUAUAUUUUGGGCUAAUUCCUCAUAACCUUAUUGAACCCUAAAUCUAACAAGUUAAUUACUCAGACAUAGCAAAGUAAAUCAUAGCAACAAGAUGAAUAAACUGCAUAAAAUAGAAUAUAGUAGAAAAACUGAAGUUCCAAUACAAAGCUCUGAAGGAAUCUUCUCUCCAAACUACUAAAAACCCUAAAUUAUGUUUCUGUGGAAAAUUAAGAAAGUAUGAAAGCGUGUGUUGCCAAAAACAAUGGCAUAGCACAUAAAUAUUAUGGUACAGUCUGUAACACCCUCGAACCGUCCUAGACAUAUGGUCGAUCAACCGGCAAACAAUCAAACAAGAACAUGACCGAUCGACCGUCCAACAUGCAGGGUUAGAGAUGAAUGAGCCAACCGGCCAACCGGCCAGCCAACAAUCAAACAAGAACAUGACUGACCGUUCAACCCAACACCAUGGUCCGGAAGCGCUAUGUGACGGGUUAGGGACGAUCCGGUCAGAGUCAUAAAAGUUACUCCACGACCUAGACCAGUUCAUCCACUAACUCGUUUUGCUGCGUCAAGGCACAAGGUUUCCUGACCCGCCGUGACCCGCAAGGAGAUGAGCCCACUGCGGUACGGGACAGGACGGGACGGAUCAACCCGUUUGACAUCUCUAGUCUCCUGUAUGAACCACAUGUGUCUCCAACUUCUUCACAUGUGGAUUCAAAGUUUCAAACUUUGUGUUCAAGUCGGUGUAGACAUCUUCUAUCUUCCCAUUCAAAUUCACCAUUAGUUUCUGAUGGGUGUCAAGAACCUGAUCAAGCAUUGCUUCUAUCUUGUUCUCUCGAGGUCGUUGGUUAUGGUAGGAGGAACUUCCAUAAGUUAUGUUGUUGCUGUUGUAGUAGUUGUUGUUGUAGGGUUUCUGGUACUGUGAACUCUGGUUGAAGUUACUCUUCUGUCCAUUGCCAUAAAGGUUUAUGUAUCCACCCUGAUUUCCAAACCUCUGAUUCUGAAAACCGGUACGACAGAUGAAAUUCACAUCUUCCUCGAAAUAUCUGUCACUACCGACAUCUACAGCCUCUACAUCCUUUGCAAAGCUAACAUGUUUCUUGAGAAGCUUGUGAACACUAUCCAGCUUAGCCUUAACAUCGUCCAUCUGCUCCUUUUCUAGGGUGGUGGCCUAUUUUCUCCUCUCAAAAUCAGUGUUCUUGGUGUUAUUUCUAGAUACCAAGUUCUCAAUAAGUCUCACAUCCUCUUCUGAAUGUCUAGUGUUAAAGUUUCCUUCACUAGCAGUGUCUAGAGCCAUCUGAUAUUCCAGCGCGAUGCCUCUGAAGAAAGUGCUAAGCAGCUGCACUUCAUUGAUUCCAUGGUGUGGACAAUCUCUCUGAUAGGACUUGAAUCUGAUCCAGGAGCUUCUAAAUGAUUCUGUAGGCUCAUGUGUGAAUGUAACAAUCUUGCUCCUUAAGUCCUCAGCGCGUGACUCAUCAAAGAAAUUACGCCGAAAUGCGUUCUUGAUGUCAGCCCAGGAUGUAAAAGAUCCUGGUGGUAACUGCUUAAGCCAGUUUGAAGCAUCUCCAGCAAGUGAUUACUUGAAGAGCUUGCAAAGGAGAUAGUCCUCAGGGACUCCAUUGGCUUUAACGGCAGACACUCGAUCCUCGAACCGCUCCAGAUGGUCCAUAGAAUGCUCAUGUGAUAGACCACAUUAUGGUGUCUGUCCCACGAGUGUAAAGUACUGGAGCUUCAGCUCGAAAUCGUUCCUCUGGAUAGCUGGAGGGCGAAUAGCAGAUCUGUUGGCGUAGUAUAGAUCUGGACGGUUGUGUCAGCCAACGUUCUGGGUCGAGCAGCCUUGUCUAUAGCUUGAGCAAAAGCUGCAUCAGGAUCAGUGAUUGUUGUCCCCUGAUCAUUUAUCCUCUGACCUGCUGCAUUAUGCAGAUGAUCAUCCUGGUCAUGCAGGUUUCAAAACACAUCCUGAAUAAGAACUAGAGUCGAACCAUAUCUCGCAGUUGAGUAUCGAUCGGUGUUCGUUGUGAAGUGUCGACCGAUGUCAGGUGAGAAGUGUCGUUCGACAGAUUAGUAGUAUCGGUCGAUGUUUGCUGAGAAGUGUCGGUUGACAAACUGAGGUUGUUGUCGACACUAACCACUUGUACUAGUAGUCCGGCCUAUAUGGCAUAUGACCCGUAGUACCAACAUCACAACUAGGAGAUCAGCCUAUAUGGUCAAAGAUCCCCUAACACAACGACAUUAGCACUAAACAACUCAACCAGUUAGUCAAUCCCUUACCGAUAGAUGACUAACCUCAAUCAACAAAAGCUAAUGGCGAUCAAAGCUCCUCGACAACGGCGCCAAAUAUGAUAUGACUAAAAUUACUGUAAUGAGUGAUUUUUACUCUCUCAAAUUAAAGGUUGUAGUACUUAGGGAUCGAAUCCCCGGGAAGCUAGAGCACACAAUAGAUCCUAAUCAGUAGUGAUUAAGCUAGAACCUGCACUCAACCAUAUCAACAUGCAAGAAUAUAAAUCAUGAUGCAUCCUAGUCCUAGUCAGGUUAUUAUCUCAGUCUUAAUUCCAUUUCAUCUCAGCUAGCCCGUUCUAAACUAAGUCUCGUUUAAUAAAUAACCCCAAGGACUCUAUCAUGCAACAGCGUGAGCAUUCUACUCUAUAUGCGACUCGAUCUUCCCUAAGUUAUAAGUGGAACUCAAAAAAACCAACUCACAAAACCACCCUAAAUUCCAAGUGGAAUUCAAUCAAGCCAACUCACACUGUUCUAGGCGAGAAGCAGCUGGUUGAUCGGAGAGGACUUGGCCAAAACCCAAGGGACGACUUGACUGAACUGGACUGGACUGAUCUCGACUUGAACAGAACCUCGGCUUCAUCAUGAAGAAAUUGACAGGCCUCGACAGACUGAUCUGGACUUGGACAGAACCUCUUUUAGCUUCUGGACAGUUUUUCGGACUUCCCGGCGGAGUAUCAAGCAAAACUUCAACUGAUCUGAACCCGUGUAACUGAACUAACUCUGGACAGCACCUCAACUUGAUAAUAGAAGAACAUGACUGCCUUGGACGGAUUGAUUUGGACAGAGCUUCCCCGUCACAAUCGCAUAGAAUCGUCGAUUGGACGGUACUGGCCUUCUCGGUGAAGUACCGGUCUUCAGAAUCGACCAUACUCUAUAUCGACCACUUUCUUCUCUCUCUCUCUCUCUACCCACGUUUUGGAGUGGCUUCCCAUAUGAAAUGAUCUUCAACUGAACAAAACCUCACCUAGGCGCCGACUCGAAAUCAGUAGAGAACCGGCCAACAAUCAAACAAGAACAUGAUCUGCCAGUAUAUGAUACUGCAUAGAUUUAAUAUGGACCACCCUUCACAAGCAAUCACUCAAACACAGACAUGCCAACGUCAUGCCUACACUAACCAAAUACACCCCAAGCCUAAUCCGGUACCGAAACAAGACUUAGGACUUAAUGUUAGAACCUGCAAAAAAAUCAAUCAACAACCACAACCACAUCAAUAAUAAGAUACUAACUACCAACGACUCAAUCUAACUCGUAACACCGUAUAUUGGUGCUACACUAACUUGAGGGUUCCAUAACCCUCUACGACACACUAACACAACACAACACUCUAACUCGGCAGUCUAACCUGGGCCCUGGUGACUUCGUGUUCUUCCUCUCUAUCGGCAAUAUCCUAUCUUCCUACAACAAAGGCCAGAAGAAGGAACUUUCAACUGACCGCGGCCCAAAGUCCUUUGGGUCACCGCGCGACAGCCCACAGUCCUUCGGGUCACUGCCACAUUACACCGUCGUGUAAUUACUCAGCCAUAGGCCAUGACCCCGUCUAUCUGAGUCUUCCCGAUCCAGCUAAUAAGGGGUUUCCUUGAACCCGCUGAAUACGAGGGCGAGGAAACACUAGUCCACCCUAAAACAUGCCUAGCAUGGGCGGGUUUUGCACCUGCUGUCGGCAUAACACCAGACACACAAUCCUUAGGAAAGACCUAAAGGACAAGACUCCAAUCCAAAACUAAACAAUACUUAGGAAAGGCCUAUAUGGCAUAGGACCCGUAGUACCAACAUAACAACUAGGAGAUCGGCCUAUAUGGCCAAAGAUCCCCUAAACAACAACCUUAUCACUAAACAACUAAACCAGUUAGUCAAUCCCUUACCAAGAGAUGACUAACCUCAAUCAACAAGAUUAAUUAAACGAGCAAGUAUUUAAUUAAAUCUACUCAAUCAAUCUACUCAAUCAAACCGUUACCCAGAUUGUUCGGCCUCCUUCUACGACACUAUCUUUAAAGAUAACGGGAACCUGCACUCAACCAUAUCAACAUGCAAGAAUAUAAAUCAUGAUGCAUCCUAGUCCUAGUCAGGUUAUUAUCUCAGUCUUAAUUCCAUUUCAUCUUAGCUUGCCCGUGCUAAACUGAGUCUCGUUUAAUAAAUAACCCCAAGGGCUCCAUUUGAUAAUUGAAGAACAUGGCUGGCUUGGACGGAUUGAUUUGGACAGAGCUUCCCUGUCACAAUCGUAUAGAAUCAUCGAUUGGACGGAACUGGCCUUCUCGGUGAAGUAUCGGUCUUCAGAAUCGACCAUACUCUACAUCGACCACUUCCUUCUCUCUCUCUCUCUCUCUCUCUCUCUCUAGACCCACGUUUUGGAGUGGCUUCCCAUCUGAACUGAUCUUCAACUGAACAGAACCUCCCCUAGGUGCCGACUCGAAAUCUGUAGAGAACUGACCUCGAAAACUCUCUAAAAUCUCGAAAUAGCUCAGAAUCACUUGCUUUCUUUUUGUACUUUUCUCUCACGGUUUUAACUUGGUUUGGACAGGUCUGGAUGUAAAGAAAUGAUCUGGGGUCGUGGGGGUAUAUAUAGGAUACACCAGCCAAUCAGCUUCAGGUUGGUGGCAGCCUGUGCGUCGCUUCGCAUGGCUCCAGAGGCAUGCGCGGCGGCACCUCGUGCUCCACAUGUCAUUCAGCAGCCUGCAGCAUCAGGAAAUGUUCUGGAGCGUUAGGAAGUGUUCUGGAGCGGCCUGCAGUGUCAAGCAUGAUCGGAUACACUACAAUGACGUAUGUCCAGCGGGACAGCCCGCGAAGGAGUGUGCAUUUGGCGGUACGGGCUUGGGACUACCUUUUGGAGACCGCAGCCUGCGCGGGCCUGACCCGCCGUGACCCGCAAGGAGAUGAGCCCGCUGCGGUACGGGACAAGACGGGACGGAUCAACCCGUUUGACAUCUCUAGUCUCCUGUCUGAACCACAUGUGUCUCCAACUUCUUCACAUGUGGAUUCAAAGUUUCAAACUUUGUGUUCAAGUCGGUGUAGACAUCAUCUAUCUUCCCAUUGAAAUUCACCAUUAGUUUCUAAUGGGUGUCAAGAACCUGAUCAAGCAUUGCUUCUAUCUUGUUCUCUCGAGGUCGUUGGUUAUGGUAGGAAGAACUUCCAUAAGUUAUGUUGUUGCUGUUGUAGUAGUUGUUGUUGUAGGGUUUAUGGUACUGUGAACUCUGGUUGAAGUUACUCUUCUGUCCAUUGCCAUAAAGGUUUCUUUAUCCACCCUGAUUUCCAAACCUCUGAUUCUGAAAACCGGUACGACAGAUGAAAUUCACAUCUUCCUCGAAAUAUUUGUCACUACCGACAUCUAUAGCCUCUACAUCCUCUGCAAAGCUAACCUGUUUCUUGAGAAGCUUGUGAACACUAUCCAGCUUAGCCUUAACAUCGUCCAUUUGCUCCUUUUCUAGGGUGGUGGCCUAUUUUCUCCUCUCAAAAUCAGUGUUCUUGGUGCUAUUUCUAGAUACCAAGUUCUCAAUAAGUCUCACAUCCUCUUCUGAAUGUCUAGUGUUAAAGUUUUCUUCACUAGCAGUGUCUACAGCCAUCUGAUGUGCCAGCGCGAUGCCUCUGAAGAAAGUGCUAAGCAACUGCACUUCAUUGAAUCCAUGGUGUGGACAAUCUCUCUGAUAUGACUUGAAUCUGAUCCAAGAGCUUCUAAAUGAUUCUGUAGGCUCAUGUGUGAAUGUAACAAUCUUGCUCCUUAAGUCCUCAGCGCGUGACUCAUCAAAGAAAUUAAGCCGAAAUGCGUUCUUGAUGUCAGCCCAGGAUGUAAAAGAUCCUGGUGGUAAUUGCUUAAGCCAGUUUGAAGCAUCUCCAGCAAGUGAUUACUUGAAGAGCUUGCAAAGGAGAUAGUCCUCAGGGACUCCAUUGGCUUUAAUGGCAGACACUCGAUCCUCGAACCGCGCCAGAUGGUCCAUAGAAUGCUCAUGUGAUAGACCACAUUAUGGUGUCUGUCCCACGAGUGUAAAGUACUGGAGCUUCAGCUCGAAAUCGUUCCUCUGGAUAGCUGGAGGGCGAAUAGCAGAUCUGUUGGCGUAGUAUAGAUCUGGACGGUUGUGUCAGCCAAAGUUCUGGGUCGAGCAGACUUGUCUACAGCUUGAGCAAAAGCUGCAUCAGGAUCAGGGAUUGUUGUCCCCUGAUCAUUUAUCCUCUGACCUGCUGCAUUACGCAGAUGAUCAUCCUGGUCAUGCAGAUUUCAAAACACAUCCUGAAUAAGAACUAGAGUCGCAACCUUAUCUCGCAGUUGAGUAUCGAUCGGUGUUCGUUGUGAAGUGUCGACCGAUGUCAGGUGAGAAGUGUCGGUCGACGAGCUAAGUAAAUUAUGCAAACAGUAAAUAAACAAAGUAAACAAGGUAGUUGUUCAGUUGAUUGGUUUGAGAUUUGUAAGCAAUUAAAGGAAAAUGCUAGAUCUAGGGUUUCAGAUAAUCAUGAUUAUAGAGGUAUAGAAUACUUAGGUUGUCAAUCCUAGAAAUUGACUUCUUAUGAGAAAGUAUUCCAGCUUUCGGUGUUGAAUCAAUCCUAUUGACUAUGUCCAAUAUCUCAGUUGUCACUUGUUGAUAUGGAUCGAGCGUCGAUCGAUGCUAUGGUAAGAGCGUCAAUCGAUGUUCUUUUAGGCAAAAUUUAGCGAGUUGAUCGAUAGGUUCAGUAGUAUUGUCUAGAUCAGCUGUCGCUUGUUUCUAGCAAUCCUACCUCAAGGGAAUCUAUUCUGGUGCAGAAUCUACCGUCGUAAUUGUCCACUAUCCU